rnacentral:rRNA from 1 species
UACAGAGGGGGCAAGCGUUGUUCGGAAUUACUGGGCGUAAAGCGUGCGCAGGCGGCUUCCUAAGUCAGAUGUGAAAUCCCUGGGCUCAACCCAGGAACUGCGUCCGAUACUGGUUGGCUUGAAUCCGGGAGAGGGAUGUGGAAUUCCAGGUGUAGCGGUGAAAUGCGUAGAUAUCUGGAGGAACACCGGUGGCGAAGGCGACAUCCUGGACCGGUAUUGACGCUGAGGCGCGAAAGCCAGGGGAGCAAACGGG